GCCGUAGGUGAACCUGCGGCAGGAUCAUUA
rnacentral:rRNA from 1 species